AGAUCAUUAAGGCAGAUUUCACUUGUCCCUCAUAGUUCUCUACCAGUGCAAAAAACCUAAUCAAAAGGAUUUUGGACCCUAAUCCUUUAACUAUGCGUGAAGUCGUGUGGGAUGUUAGAACCUAUUUCCCAAUGGCAAUAAUUAGUGGAAGAUGCCGUGAUAAGGGGCCAUACUAUUGUGGUGCCGGAGCUGACAUGGCAUUUAGAUGAGACAUUGUUGAUUCUCACUACAAAGCAUGCCUUUAUGCUGGAAUUAACAUUAGUGGGAUCAAUGGAGAAGUUAUUCUUGGCCAGGUCCACAACUGAAGUAUCUCUGCAGCACAAGUGUUCGCAUCUGCCGACUGAUCAUCGCAUUUGUUUUUAGCAGGAUGAAGAUGAAGAGGCAUAGCUUUUUCAUAUGACUACAUUGUUUGUAUGAUGAAAUUGAUUUUCAACCAUGUGCAGUAAGCUUUCGGAUCAAAGUGAAGCUAAGAAUAUGGUGUUAGUUUAUGGAAAUUUGAUUACUAGUAAAGGCACAUCCAUGGAGUUCUCGCUUGCG